GAUGAACGCUCGCGGCAGGCCUAAUACAUGCAAGUCGGACGGGAUUCAGGAGCUUGCUUCUGAUGAGAGUGGCGCACGGGUGCGUAACACGUAUGUAACCUACCUUUAUCAGGGGGAUAGCCCCUCGAAAGAGAGAUUAAGCCCGCAUAAAAUCACAGCACAGCAUUGUGUAAUGAUCAAAUAUUUAUAGGAUAAAGAUGGGCAUGCGGAACAUUAGCUAGAUGGCGGGGUAACGGCCCACCAUGGCGACGAUGCUUAGGGGAGCUGAGAGGAUGGCCCCCCACACUGGUACUGAGACACGGACCAGACUCCUACGGGAGGCAGCAGUAAGGAAUAUUGGUCAAUGGGCGGAAGCCUGAACCAGCCAUGCCGCGUGCAGGAAGACGGCCCUACGGGUUGUAAACUGCUUUUAUACGGGAAUAAACCCAGAUACGUGUAUCUGGCUGAAUGUACUGUAAGAAUAAGGAUCGGCUAACUCCGUG
rnacentral:rRNA from 1 species